CACCUCUAACCCCUUUGCGCUUCCCUUUGUAGUCCACCGUUCCAGAAGCUGGAGGACUGCUUCAAAGCUCUGUCCCUCAACCAGGAGCUGGGCAUCCCUCUCCCAUCCGAAUUAGAUGAACUCCAUCAAAGUCUGAGUCGACUCCACUGGCCCAAAGAUGGUUCCUCCCCAGCGCCGAGCCCAGAUGAGCCGCAAUCCCCCAAAGUGGCCUCCCCAGACUGCUCCGGGACAUCAGACAAUGGCACUUAGGACCCGCCCUCCUUUUCGAGCCGCAUAACCCCUCUGACCUGCUGCACCAAUAACACGAAACAGCGAGAGCAGAGGGCGCCCUCGUUCCACUGCUGCUGUCUUUCCAUGUCUUGAGGAAACAAACAACAAGCAGGACCAAAGGGUGCGGCAGCAACAGUUGAAUUACUCGACAAGGGGGACUGUUUUGAUUUCACUACUCAUUCACGUUACAUGCAAGGUUGUUGCUAGAUAUUUGCACUUUUUAACCUUUGUGUAGCAAUUUCUCACAAGUUGCGUUCAUGUUUUGUGUUGUUGCCAAAUUCUCACCAAGGUCAUGUUUUCCAUACACCUGCUGCUUUUGCUUUUCAAAAAGGGCUUGUUGAAACACACGAAUCUUAAAAACCUGUUUCUACAGAAGAACUGGAUUACUUUGUAAUUUUUCACAUCCAUUUGAAUGUAGAUAUUGUACAUAUUGCUCAAUGUGAGGUCUCUUUUUUUUAAAGGAAACUUAGAGUUUAGACAUUUCAAUUCACUGUGGAUGUUGAUUUGCCUUCUUGUUAACUGUUCUAGUAGCGUCAAGGUACUGACAACUAAUUUUUACCACUGAUAUUUAAGAAUCAAAAGGGGUUCCUAAGUAAACACUCACGCAACAGAUUAUUUUAGCUAUUCGCUAGUUUGACGAUUGAAUUUUACCUCAUCGUAGUCCGUGGUUUUUAAUGAGCAAAAUAAAAACUUUCUUACAAGAGCCCCAAACACUCAAGACGACGAUGUGUUCACACACAUUUUGAGACUUGGAUAAGUUAUGUGGACGCUAGUACCCGUGUUACUAUUUUUAUAUUUAACUCGCAAAUACUGUGAUGUUCUUUGUGUCUCGAUCUUUAUACAUGUUGGAGUACACAAAAAAAUCAGGCAUUCCUAUUAGUUCAGUGGUGUUGGUCGUUAUUGGUAGUUUUAAAUGCGAUACUUGGGAUGACCGCUGACUCGUUUCCAUUCCUAAAGUUGUGUAUUUAUUUAUCUUUACCAAUGAGGAAAUGUAUCACUAAAUGUCUGCUUUGUUGGCGAAUAUCUGCAGUGGUUCUAGAUUCUUCUGAUGAUUGUAUAUUUGUUGAUAAACGUUCUUUGUACUAAAUUUUCACAUAUCUUUUUACCAAUUUAAAGAUUACUCCAAAACUGAUGACUUCGCGGGCGGCUCAAAUGUGUAGUUAGUAUAGAAUGACCAGCAGGGGGAGUUCAAGGUUUCCAUGUUGAGUAAUCGUUCAGUCUGUAUGAAUUUCCAUGAAUGAAAUUAAACAUACUGUACCAGUUUCCA